GGGGUUAUAGCUCAGCUGGGAGAGCGCCUGCCUUGCACGCAGGAGGUCUGCGGUUCGAUCCCGCA
rnacentral:tRNA from 3 species